GUUUGGAGUCCGUAUAAGAAAAAGGAUAUUGAAUCAGUCGAAAACGUACAAAGACGGGCUACAAAAAUGCUUCCAAACUUGAAAGAUCUAUCAUAUGAAGACAGAUUAAAACUCUUGAAAUUACCAACACUUAGAUAUCGUAGACUACGAGGAGACAUGAUCGAGACGUACAAGAUUCUCAAUCACAUCUAUGACGAAAGGGC
rnacentral:lncRNA from 1 species